UACGUAGGGGGGCGAGCGUUGUCCGGAUUUAUUGGGCGUAAAGAGCGUGUAGGCGGCCAGGUAGGUCUGCUGUGAAAACUCGAGGCUCAACCUCGAGACGUCGGCGGAAACCAUCUGGCUAGAGUCCGGAAGAGGAGAGUGGAAUUCCUGGUGUAGCGGUGAAAUGCGCAGAUAUCAGGAAGAACACCAAUGGCGAAAGCAGCUUUCUGGGACGGUACUGACGCUGAGACGCGAAAGCGUGGGGAGCGAACAGG
rnacentral:rRNA from 1 species